rnacentral:ncRNA from 1 species
CGUCUCCUCCAUGUCUCCUCCUGAUAUGGAUUCGGCCCGCCCGUUUCUGGCGGGCUUUCUUUU